rnacentral:rRNA from 1 species
GAUGAACGCUGGCGGUGUGCCUUAAGCAUGCAAGUCGUACGAUGAUGCCCAGCUUGCUGGGUGGAUUAGUGGCGAACGGGUGAGUAACACGUGAGUAACCUGCCCCUGACUCUGGGAUAAGCGUUGGAAAAGACGUCUAAUACUGGAUAUGACUGCCGGACGCAUGGUAUGGUGGUGGAAAGAUUUUUUGGUUGGGGGUGGACUCGCAGCCUAUCAGCUUGUUGGUGAGGGAAUGGCACCCCAAGGCGACGACGGGUAGCCGGCCUGAGAGGGUGACCGGCCACACUGGGACUGAGACACGGCCCAGACUGCUACGGGAGGCAGCAGUGGGGAAUAUUGCACAAUGGGCGAAAGCCUGAUGCAGCAACGCCGCGUGAGGGAUGACGGCCUUCGGGUUGUAAACCUCUUUUAGUAGGGAAGAAGCGAAAGUGACGGUACCUGCAGAAAAAGCACCGGCUAACUACGUGCCAGCCGCCGCAGUAA